UACGGGGGGGGGCAAGCGUUGUUCGGAAUUACUGGGCGUAAAGGGCUCGUAGGCGGCCAACUAAGUCAGACGUGAAAUCCCUCGGCUUAACCGGGGAACUGCGUCUGAUACUGGAUGGCUUGAGAUUGGGAGAGGGAUGCGGAAUUCCAGGUGUAGCGGUGAAAUGCGUAGAUAUCUGGAGGAACACCGGUGGCGAAGGCGGCAUCCUGGACCAACACUGACGCUGAGGAGCGAAAGCCAGGGGGAGCAAACGGGG
rnacentral:rRNA from 1 species